rnacentral:rRNA from 1 species
GGGGGGCUAAUACAUGCAGUCGAGCGGACAGAAGGGAGCUUGCUCCCGGAUGUUAGCGGCGGACGGGUGAGUAACACGUGGGUAACCUGCCUGUAAGACUGGGAUAACUCCGGGAAACCGGAGCUAAUACCGGAUAGUUCCUUGAACCGCAUGGUUCAAGGAUGAAAGACGGUUUCGGCUGUCACUUACAGAUGGACCCGCGGCGCAUUAGCUAGUUGGUGGGGUAAUGGCUCACCAAGGCGACGAUGCGUAGCCGACCUGAGAGGGUGAUCGGCCACACUGGGACUGAGACACGGCCCAGACUCCUACGGGAGGCAGCAGUAGGGAAUCUUCCGCAAUGGACGAAAGUCUGACGGAGCAACGCCGCGUGAGUGAUGAAGGUUUUCGGAUCGUAAAGCUCUGUUGUUAGGGAAGAACAAGUGCGAGAGUAACUGCUCGCACCUUGACGGUACCUAACCAGAAAGCCACGGCUAACUACGUGCCAGCAGCCGCGGUAAUACGUAGGUGGCAAGCGUUGUCCGGAAUUAUUGGGCGUAAAGGGCUCGCAGGCGGUUUCUUAAGUCUGAUGUGAAAGCCCCCGGCUCAACCGGGGAGGGUCAUUGGAAACUGGGAAACUUGAGUGCAGAAGAGGAGAGUGGAAUUCCACGUGUAGCGGUGAAAUGCGUAGAGAUGUGGAGGAACACCAGUGGCGAAGGCGACUCUCUGGUCUGUAACUGACGCUGAGGAGCGAAAGCGUGGGGAGCGAACAGGAUUAGAUACCCUGGUAGUCCACGCCGUAAACGAUGAGUGCUAAGUGUUAGGGGGUUUCCGCCCCUUAGUGCUGCAGCUAACGCAUUAAGCACUCCGCCUGGGGAGUACGGUCGCAAGACUGAAACUCAAAGGAAUUGACGGGGGCCCGCACAAGCGGUGGAGCAUGUGGUUUAAUUCGAAGCAACGCGAAGAACCUUACCAGGUCUUGACAUCCUCUGACAACCCUAGAGAUAGGGCUUUCCCUUCGGGGACAGAGUGACAGGUGGUGCAUGGUUGUCGUCAGCUCGUGUC